AUUGAACGCUGGCGGCAGGCCUAACACAUGCAAGUCGAGCGGAUGAAGGGAGCUUGCUCCUGGAUUCAGCGGCGGACGGGUGAGUAAUGCCUAGGAAUCUGCCUGGUAGUGGGGGAUAACGUCCGGAAACGGGCGCUAAUACCGAAUACGUCGUGAGGGAGAAAGUGGGGGAUCUUCGGAACUCACGCUAUCAGAUGAGCCUAGGUCGGGUUAGCUAGUUGGUGGGGUAAAGGCCUAUCAAGGCGACGAUCCGUAACUGGUCUGAGAGGAUGAUCAGUCACACUAGACCGGAAACACGGUCCAGGCUCCUCCGGUAGGCAGCAGUGGGGAAUAUUGGACAAUGGGCGAAAGCCUGAUCCAGCCAUGCCGCGUGUGUUAAGAAGGUCUUCGGAUUUUAAAGCACUUUAAGUUGGGAGGAAGGGCAGUAAGUUAAUACCUUGCUGUUUUGACGUUACCAACAGAAUAAGCACCGGCUAACUUCGUG
rnacentral:rRNA from 1 species